CAGCCCACCCCUUAAGAACCGGGCCGGGCCGGGCCCGAUUUAUACCGGGCCGGUCCGGUCCGGUCCCGUGUCAACCCGGACCGGUUGACAGGUCUACUAUUAACUCCGGAUUUUAAAGUGUUAUAAACACUACCUUAAAUAUUUACUUAGCAUAAAAAGUGCAAAAAUUAAUUAACAGAUACAAAUAUCAUCUUUUGAUUAGACAUUACAUAAUUAAAUACAUCUAAUUAAUUAGCCUCUUUCGUCUUCUAAACCUCUUCUCACACGAACAAGGGGGAGAUUGCUUCAAUGACAAGACGCCAGAGCUCAAAAUUAACCCAGAUAUCAAAAGCAAAUAUGUUUAAUAACAGAAACAGAACUACAACUAGAGGCAGUAACGAGCAUGUGCAGUAAAAAUCUAUGAACAGUCAAAACGGUCAAUAAUAAUGGAGUUUCGUCGGAGCAAGAUCUUCGUCGCAGUUUCAUUCUCCGAUAAAAGAGGACAAUAUCAAACAUGUAUUAUAUACAACCUAUCAAAAGCUUAGUUCACCAGAAAAUAAAGAUCUCAUCGUGAUUAAAGCAGAGAUCGGAAGGAAUAUCUAGCACCUAACAAGUUUCGGCCAUCGAAAUGAAAAAUGAUUGAGAAAUUAAGAAAAGAAACAAAAAAUACUUUAAGAAGUUUACUAGUGGAGCUCAUAUGAGACUUUUGCGUUUUGGUCAGAUAUGGUAAUGAAUGC
rnacentral:lncRNA from 1 species